rnacentral:rRNA from 1 species
UCUGGUGCCCGCAGCCCCGGUAAUUCCAGCUCCAAUAGCGUAUAUUAAAGUUGUUGCAGUUAAAAAGCUCGUAGUUGAAUUUCGGAUUCUGUCCGUCGGUCGGGCUUCACUGUCCGCACUGGCGUGAUGGAUUCCUCCCCUCUGAAUAACCGGCAUGCCAUUAAUUUGGUGCGCCGGG